UACGGGGGAUGCAAGCGUUAUCCGGAAUCACUGGGCGUAAAGAGUCUGUAGGUGGCUUAAUAAGUCUGCUGUUAAAUAUCAAAGCUUAACUUUGAAACAGCGGUAGAAACUAUUAUGCUGGAGUAUGGUAGGGGUAGAGGGAAUUCCCAGUGUAGCGGUGAAAUGCGUAGAUAUUGGGAAGAACACCAGUGGCGAAGGCGCUCUACUGGGCCAUUACUGACACUCAGAGACGAAAGCUAAGGUAGCGAAUGGG
rnacentral:rRNA from 1 species